GUCCUGAGCGAGUCUGUCAGCUCCGAGCUCAGCUGCACGUCGAUGUCAGCCCUUUUUCCUUGGAACCAGUGUCCACGAAGAAGAGUUUUUCAUUUGGGGCCUCUGACAGCAAGCCACCGCUGGUGCGCUCCUGUAGCCGCACGUCUUCCAGGAACGGGUCAACCUCCAGCCCCAGCGGCUCCUGAGCAAGCCACCGCCAGCCCUGCUUCUUAUUUCUUGGGCCUCGCCGCC
rnacentral:lncRNA from 1 species